GGGUUCAGGGUUUGGUGAAGAAGAUGAGUGAAGGGGGGUUAGGAUAGGGGGCGGGGUAGCAAGGUUAGGCCUUAUAUAUGCUUUAGAGUUUUAGAUCCUGGCCGUUGGAUCAAGGGAGAUCUAUGGCCAGGAUCUAUUCUUUAGGUAGGACGUCGUCGUUUAGGUGGGAAGGUAGUUAAAACCGGGUAGGGAAAUGGGUCGGAUUAAAUUAACGGGUCUAAAGGGCGGGCCUCGAUCCGUUGGAUCAAAGGGAUUGGACGGCUCAGAUCAAACGCCUUGAACGGCGUCGUUAUGGUUAAAUGGGCGAUCUGAUCAAGACCGUUCAUUUAAAUCAUAUCAAUGGCUCUAAUAGGGAUGCUGAUACGGCAUCGUUUGAGUCAGUGCUUGGGCAGGCCUGGCUUGGACUGGGUCUUGCAUUGGCUUUGGGCCUCAUUUGGGGCCCAAUCCGAUUUCUUCACUUCUUUUUUUUUUCUUUUCUUUUUUUCUGAUUUUAAAAUACAACUAAAUUAAACUGAAUUUAAAACACUCAUUAAUCAACACCUAAACAAUUAUCACACACAUAUUAAAAUUUUAAAAAUGGUUAAAUCAUAGCCUAGAAUAAAAGCUGCAUAUUUUUGUGAAUUUUCUUUUAAAGACCGAAUUAUGGCCCGAUUACACACGGCAUACUUAUUUUGUAUUUUUGUUGGAGAAGAUUCAAUGAAAAAUGGAUAGAAACACAAAGGACUACCAGCACAUGUCACGUAAAAAUUGAAAAUUUGUAUGGCGAGGCCAUUUGCAAUUAUUUUGAUUUCUUUUGGAGUGAUUGUUCGUGAAGCAAAAAUCACGUGCUUACACCCGUUACUCGUUUUUUGGCAUUUUAAGGUCAUAAAACUUGAAUUCCGCCCGAUUCCCAGAUUUUCGUAUGCUAUAACCCACACCUCCUACAUGGGCCGGGGCGAUCGGUCCCCGAUCGCCUAAAACUUUGCUAGCCCAUCAAAAAUGACCUAAGAAAAAAUAGCCACCGCCCACCACAACUGUUACUCGUUUUUUAGCAUUCUAGGGUCGUAAAACUGGAAUUUUGCAUGAUUCCCAAAUUUUCGUGUGCUAUAGCCUAUGCCUCCUGCACGGGCCCCAGAUAUCGGACCCGGAUCGCCUAAAAUAUUCUCGGCCCGACAAAAACAAUCUAAGAAUAAUAGUUACCGCCUCGCCAUUAGCGUUACUCGUUUUUGGGCGUUUUAGGGUCAUAAAACUGGAAUUCUGUCCGAUUCUCAAAUUUUCGUGUGCCUCCUGCGUGGGGCCGGGCAAACAAAUUAGGGUCGCCUAUAAUUUUUCCAGCCCAUCAAAACGACCGAAGGAACAAUAGUCACCGCCUCUCCAUAAUCGUUGUUCGGUUUUUUUGGUGUUUUAAAGCCAUAAAACUGGAAUUCUGCGUGAUUCCUAGAUUUUCAUGUGCUAUAGCCCACACCUUCUGCAUGUACCCAGGCACCAGGACCCGCAUUGCCUAAAAAUUUUGUCAGCCAUUAAAUAUGACCUAAGGAAUAAUAGUCACUGCCUCGCCAUUACCGUUACACAUUUUUUGACAUUUUAGGGCCAUAAAAUUGGAAUUCGCCUAAUUUUCAAAUUUUAAUGUGCCCAAGCCCAUGCCUCCUGCACAUGCACGGGUCCGGGAGCCCGAAUCUGGAUCACCUAAAAAUUUUCAGGCCCAUCAAAAAUGAUCUAAGGAACAAUGGUCACAGCCUCUCCAUGAUCAUUACUCGUUUUUUGGCGUUUUAGGGCUAUAAAACUAGAAUUUCCCCGAUUCCCAGAUUUUCGUGUGCUAUAUAGCCCACACCUCUUGCAUGGGCCCGGACGCCUGAACCUGGAUCGUCUAAAAAUUUUCUAGACCAUAAAAAAUGACUUAAGAAAAUAUAGUCACUGCCUCGCCAUGACUGUUACUCAUUUUUUGGCAUCUUAGGGCCAUAAAAUUGGAAUUCUGCUCAAUUUCUAGAUUUUCGUGUUCUAUAGCCUGCGCUUCCUGCAUGGGCCCAAACAAACGAGCCUGGAUCGCCUAAAAUUCGUCGGCCCAUAAAAAAUGACCUAAGGAGCAAUAGUCACCGCCUAGCCAUGAUCGUUACUCGUUUUUUUGGCAUUUUAGGACCAUAAAACUGGAAUUCAAACCGAUUCCCAAAUUUUCGUGUGCAAUAGCCUGCACCUCCUGCAUAGGGGCGCCCAAACCUGGAUCGCCUAAAUUGCAGGGCCAUCAAAAAUGAUCUAAUGAAUAAUAGGCACCGCCUAGGCAUGAUUGUUACUCGUUUUUUAGCGUUUAAGGGCCAAAAACUAGAAUUCGGGCCAAAAACUCCUAAUGUUGUGAAUUUCAUCUGCUUACCAGAUGGUUAUGUGACUGUACUGUGCUAAACAAUCAUACUCCACUUGUGAGAUUUUUCUGGUUUGUUGUUAUUAUUGUAUAAACAGAAAAUGUAAAUUAAAGAUCUUCUAAUGACAUGAUUAAUGUAAUCUAACCUAUUAUAGUAGUUUUAGUAUAAUAGGAUAGUUACAAUUUUUUUUCAGAUUACUAUUGAGAAUUCGUCAUAAAUAUUUACCUAUAAUUACCUUAUAAAUGACCUGAUUAUGUAAAUAUUUUUAUACCGUCAAUUUUAAGACUAACGGUCAGUUAUUAAAACUAGCUGCUCCACUUUCAAUAUCCUCCUACCAUCUAAAUUGGUAAUUUUCAUGUUUUUGGCCUUCUAGUAGAUUAUAUGAACUGUGUAAGCUUGUUCCUAAGGCAUGUAGUUAAGAAUUUUGCUCGUAAUAUCGCAAGUAGCUAGACCAUCAACACAUGAUUCGUAUGAGUACAAAAGUGUUCAUAAUAAUAUCAGAUCAUACAUCAAGCUGAUCAUCAACUCAUAUUUUUCCCCUUAAUUAUGACCACUUGGUCUUUUUAUAGAUCCACUUCAGAGGAUUACAAAUAUAGUACUAUUACUAUAUACUUGACUUUAAGUUGCUUUUUAGAGCAAUUAUUUAAGUUCUUGAUAUCAAGCAGAACAAUCCAUACAUAUUAACGUGAAAUGGACGUAGGUCGUUUCAAUUAGUAUGGACUUUCGCCUCUAUAAUUACCUGGAGGAUCAUAGUUGCAAGAGACAACAUAUCCUCCAUUGUUACACUGAACCCUAGCACAUCCAACACGAACCGAGUUACGCCAAACCACCUGAGUAUAGUGUCCACACACCUGUCCUUGUGCACAAGUAUUUGAGUCAUGGUCAUAAUACUGUUUCUCAUCGACCCACAUCUCAACGGCCUUAGCAGCCGUCAUGAAAUCGCCACUUCCCUCAGCUAGGUUUUCGCCGUAUUGACCAUGAGAAUGUACGAGGUUACAAUCUGCAGCCAAUUGGGAAGCAUAAUUUUGCGCAUAGGCUGCUACCUGGUCGUCCCAGGUCAAAGGUUCUACACCUACAUCUGCACGAGCUGUGUUAUGGGCAUCCAAAUAGUCUUGUUGAGAAUUUUGGGCACGGCAAGAGUGGGAUAUUACUAGGAAUAAGAGAAGUGUAGAGACAAGAAGAAAUGAAGGCAAUUGUGAAAAGAGAACAAAUCCCAUGACUAUAGGAGAAAUGUUGUAUCUUGAAUGGAAAAACUAGAUUUACUACCAAGGGUAUUUAUAGGAGAAAUCUUGAAGAUUUCACGGUGAUUAUUCAUGUACUUACUAAAUUUUUUGACAUGGUAAUAUCAAUGUAAUAUAUCCUGUUAUAGAUAAUUUAUCCUAUUUUCUAGGUUACCAUAUUAAACUUAUAUAUGCAGUUACCAAUUGUUGUAAAAUAGUUUUACCCGAUGUUGCAAAAUAAUUUUAAAUUGUCAAUGCAUGAAGUUAAACACUUUUUUGAUCUAUCAGAUGUGCUUUUUGUUAAAUAAAGUAGACUGGUUAUGGUUAAUGUGUUAAUUAAUAUUUUCUACAUUUAACGAUCUGAUUAAUUUUUACUUCCAUAUUUAUAUCUCUUUUUUUUCAGAAUGGGAAUGUCCAUUGGAAAAAGAAUUUAAAAUAAAUACUUUGAUGUUUGAUUUUUCUAAUAAUCUUAUUUCUAAAUCUUAUAUUAUAUUUCUUAUAUGUACAAUCAAUUCUCUAAAAGAAAAAACUAUAAUAAUACCAAACACAGUUUGUGUCUUCUUCUUUCUUUUCUCAAUAUUUGUGGAAAACUUGAACAUGGCCGUCAUCUCGAUGACGUUAAAUAACUAUCAAAUUUGGACGUAAAGAAUAUUUGGAUAUUCUUCAGUUCUUUCUCUAAUUUCCUUCCCUUAAUUUCCAACUUGAUGUUACUCAUGUACUAUCAUACUUUUCUAUUAUCUCAUUCCAAUCACGGCUUGAUCUGGAGUAUAAAUAAAUUUCUAUUUUCUUAUCCCAAUCACGACUUGACUUUAGAUUCAAAUGGAGUAUUUUUUUAUUUUUUGUAAAUAGCUUAUGUUUAUUUCGUUUUUCGACAUUAGUGGAAAAGAAAGCUCAAGUUUUAGUGAAGCUAGAGUUUGAAAUCCUCGAGGGUGUUUUAAGAUUUAACUACUUUAUUUUUCCAAGAAAUAGCACCCUAAAGCAUCUCGCUGUAAUGGCGUUCACUUAUUUUCCCUUUAAUUUAAAUGGAUAAAUGACAACCAAACUCCUUAAAAAGACUUCGGCCAAUGCUUUAGGUGGUGAAGUAUAGACCCAAUACUUACAAGAGAGACCAGUGUUUUUGUUAUGCAAAAAGAGUAAUUGAAGAAUUUUGUAACUAUUGCCAUUUAGCAAUUUGNNNNNNNNNNCNNUCACUUUUGUUUGACAUGUAUACUAAAAAUAGAUUUUCAUUUUUACUUUUCACUUUAUGCAUGUUAAGAGAAGACAAUUUUUUUUUCCUGUUAUACCCACAGUAUUUAUUACUCAUUUCAAAUCAUUUUCUCAAAUCCAAUAAAAUAUGCAUCAAUUAAUAUGGGUAUCAUGGUAAAUUAUGCAUUUCAAUCAUUUUUUCUUAAAGGGUUUGAAAAAUCAAAACGUGUCAAGUAAAAGUAAACAGAGUACAUAUUAUUGUAAAUUAACUUAUCGUGAUGAUUAAAAAAAUUAUAGUCUAUUAGAUGCAAAAAAAAAAAAAAUGAAAACUUAGACCCUACACUAUGAUAAUUGACAUCCUCGUAUAUCUUAGUCCUUAAAAACGUUUAUGUGCUACGAUCCCUAGGUAAAGGUUUGCGCCAUCAGGGUCGCAAAUUGUGCCUCACGACUUGACUAUAAGAUCAAAAUUAAGGUAUCUUAAUUAAUUUAUUCUAUUGAUAAUAGAGCUUAAAAUUCAAAUGUUCUUGAGGUUUUACUUUUCUUAUUGCAAUACAUUCCUCAUUAACUUUAUAGAACAAAAAAAAUGAUACAGUGAGAAAUCAUAGUUGCAAAUCUGAUUGUCAAGAUUUAUCAGAUUUGGGUUCAAAGAAAGUAGAAUAACUUUAUCUUUCAGCAAAUUUGUAUGGACUUAUUUGAGUUAUGCAUUGCUUGGUUCAUCUCUUAUGAUGUAUUGAAGGUUCUCUACGUAGCAUGUCAUGAGUGAAGAAUCAAAAUAGAAUUGCAAGCUCAAUAUUAAAAAGAAUAACUGAAAGUAGAAUUGAAAUUUUUGUGGAAGAAAAUAAUUGGAUAGUUUAUUCAAUUCACGAAUGGCCUUAUAUAGGCAUACAAAUUAGCUUGAAUAUGUUAUCCCACUAAACAAACUCUCCUAAACUUUAGGAAAAAUAUCUGCAACUAACAAUAACAAAAUAACAACUUGAAGCUAAAAACUAGCUAUACUACUGACUUAGUCAACACUACAAGUUGUACAUGGCACAAGUGCAGGAUUAAAGUUGCAGGCACCAUCAGCGUCGUACAUUGUGCUACAGCCUACAAGAGUUGACUCCAACACAAAGAAUGAGAAAAGAAUCAAUACAAACGGAAAGGUAAACAUCUUUACUGGGAUUGUGAAUGCUUUUAUUUGUUUUGAUUCCUUUUAGGCAAUUCGGAUCAGGUUAACCCGGAUUCAUGUAGAUGACGUGAAUUAUAGCACACGAAAAUUUGUAAAUCGACCCGAAUUUCAGUUUUUUAUCCCUAAAAUGCCAAAAGAAGAGGAACGGUCAUGCUGAAGCCAUGAUUAUUGUUCAUUAGGUUAUUUUUUAUGGCCCCGCAAACUGAAAAUUCUGGAUAUCGGGUAGAAUUCCAGCUUUACGGUCGUAAAACACAAAACACGAGGAACGGUCAUGGCAAGGAAAUGACUAAUAUUCCUUAGAUCAUUUUUUAUGGGACGGUAAAAUGGCGACUCGGGUCUGGUCGCUCGAACUAUGCAGAUGGCAUGGGCUAUAGCACACAAAAAUUUAGAAAUCAAGUAGAAUUCCAGUUUUGUGGGCCUAAAAUGCCAAAUAAUGAGUAAACGAUGACUAGUAUUUCUUAGGUCAUUUUUUAUUGGUCGGAAAUUUUUUAGGUGAUUCGGGUCCAGUCGUCCAGACCCAUGUAGAUGACGUAAGCUAUAACACACGAAAAUCUAGGAAUUAUACGGAAUUAAAAAAUUUAUGGCCCUAAAAUACCCAAAAAUGAGGAAUGGUCAUGGCGAGGCGAAGACUAAUGUUCCUUAAGUCGUUCUUGAUGGGCCAAAAACUUUUUAGGCGAUUCAGGUCUAAUCGCUCAGACCCAUGCAAAUGGCGCGAGUUAUAUAGCACAGAAAAUUUGGAAUUGGUCGAAUUCCAAUUUGUUGGCCUUAAAAUGCCAAAAAAUGAAGAACGGUCAUGCUUAAGUCAUGACUAUUGUUCAUUAGGUAAUUUUUAUGGCCCUGCAAAAUUUUAGUUUAUUCGAAUUCGGUAGUCUGAAUUCAUGCAUAUGGCUAUAGCACACGAAAAUUUGAAAAACGACCUGAAUUCUAAUUUUUUGGCCCUAAAAUGAAAAAAAAAGGAACAUUGUUCAUUCAGUCAUUUUUUAUGGUCCCGCAAAAUCUUAGGCGAUUCCAAUCCAGUAGCCCAGAUUCAUGCAGAUGCGUGGACUAUAACACAUGAAAAAUUAGAAAUCUGCCGGAAUUUCAAUAUUUUGGCACUAAAAUGCCUAAAAAUAAGGAACGGUUACGCCGAAGCCGUGACUAUUAUUCAUUAGGUCACUUUUAUGGUCCAGUAAAAUUUUAGGAGAUUCAGAUCGGGUAGCCCUGAUUCAUGUAGAUGGCGUGGAUUAUAGCAUACGAAAAUUUGGAAAUCUGCCCGAAUUCUAAUUUUUUGGCCUUAAAAUACCAAAAAUCGAGGAAUGGUAAUGCCAAAAUCAUGAUUAUUGUUGAUAAGUUCAUUUUUUAUGACCCCGUAAAAUCUUAGGCGAUUCGGAUCCGGUAGCCUGGAUUCAUGCAAAUGGUGUAGACGAUAACACAUGAAAAUUUGAAAAUCGACCCCAAUUAUAGUUUUUUGGCCCUAAAAUGCAAAAGCCUAGGAACGUCCAUGUUGAAGCAAUGACUAUUAUUCGUUAGGUAAUUUCUUAUGAUCGUGUAAAAUUUUAGUCAAUUCGGAUCCAGUAUCCCGGAUUCAUGCAGAUGGCCUGGACUAUAAAGGAAAUUUGGAAAUUGGCCUAAUUCCAGUUUUUUGGCCCUAAAAUGCAAAAAAUAAGGAAAUGUCAUGCCGAAAACCAUGAAAAUGAUUCAUUAGGUUAUUUUUGUGGUCCCUCCAAAUUUUAGGAUAUUCAAAUCUGGUAACCCGAAUUCAUGCACAUAGAACGGAUUAUAACACACGAAAAUUUAAAAAUCGACCUGAAUUCUAUCUUUUUAGACCUUAAAUGCCAAAAAAGAGGAACAGUCAUGCCGAAGCCAUGACUAUUGUACAUCAUUUUUUAUGGACCCCGCAAAAUUUUAGGCGAUUUAGAUCCGGUAGGCCAGAUUAUUGUAGAUGGCGUGGACUAUAGCAUGCAAAAAAUUAGAAAUCGGCCCGAAUUCUAGUUUUUUGCCCUAAAUUGCCAAAAAAACAGGGAACGAUAUGUCGAAGCCAUGACUAUUAUUCAUUAAGGCAUUUUUUAUAGCCCCAUAAAAUUCGAUAUCCACACCUAAAAUAGCUAUCACUUCGCCAUGAUUGUUCAUUGUUUUUUGAAUUUUAAGACCAUAAAACAGGAAUUCAGGAUAACUUCUAGAUUUUCGUGUGUUAUAGUCCGUGCAUCUACAUGACUCGGGUGUCCGGUCCCGAAUUUACUAAACUUUUGCAGUCCAAUAAAAAAUGACCUAAUGAAUAAUAGUCAUCGUUUCGCCAUGAUCGUUUCUCAUUUUUGCUGUUUUAGGGCCACAAACAGAAAUUCAUGACGAUUCCCAGAUUUGCGUGUGCUCUAGUCCACGCUAUCUGUAUAAAUUCUGGUGACUAUUUUAGAAUCUCCUAAAAUUUUGUAGGCCCAUCAAAACUGACAUAAUGAACAAUAGCCACCGCUUUCUCGUGAUUAUUCCUCAUUUUUUUGGCGUUUUAGAGCCAUAAAAUAGGAAUUCAGGACGAUUCCCAGAUUUUAGUGUGCUAUAGUCCACGCUAUUUGCAUGAAUUCAUGCGACCGACUUCGAAACUCCUAAAAAUUUUGGGUUCCAUAAAAAUUGACCGGAUGAUCAAUAGUCAUCGCUUCGCCAUUACCCACCGUCUUUAUUUGGCAUUUUAAGGCUAUAAAAUAGAAAUUCAAGACGAUUCUCAAAUUUUCGUGUACUAUAAGUCUACACCAUAUGCAUGAAUUCGGGCGACCGAACCAGAAUCUCCUAAAAUUUUGUGGAACUAUAAAAACGACCUAAUUAGUAAUAAUCAUCGUUUCACCAUGAUUGUGCCUCAUUUUUUGGCUUUUUGGACCAUAAAACAGGAAUUCAAGAUGAUUCCUAUUUUUGUGUGCUAUAGUCCAUGCCAUUUGCAUAAACUCGGGCAACCGGCCUAGAAUCUAUUUUGCGAGCCCAUCUAGAACGAUGUAAUGAACAAUAGACAUAGAUUCGCCAUGACUGUUCUUUAGUUUUUGGCGUUUUAGGGCCAUAAAAUAGGAAUUCAAGACUAUUACAAAAUUUCAUAUGAUAUUGUCCACACCAUUUGCAAGAAUUUGUGCGACCGACCUCGAAUCUCCUAUAAUUUUACAAGUCCAUAAAAAAGACCUAAUGAACAACAAUCAACACUUCGCCAUGAUUUUUUGUGUUUUAGCGGCAUAAAACAGAAACUCAUCCAGAUUUUCGUGUGUUAUAGCGACGGGGCCAUCUGCAUGAAUUCAAGCGACUGGCCCUGAAUCUACUAAAAAAUUUUAGGCCCGUCAAAAAUAACAUAAUGAACAAUAGUCAUCGCUUCGCCAUGACUGUUCCUCAUUUUUUGGAUUUUUAGGGCCAUAAAAAAGGAAUUCAAGACGAUUCCCAGAUUGUCGUAUGCAAUAGUCCACGCUGUUGAUACCCAAUUUUUCCCUAUAAUAUUUUUCAAAUGCAUAUAUACCUUCAAAACUAUGCAUUAGCAUCAAUUGAUAUUUGUCAUAAUUUCUACAUUUUUCAAAUUAAUUUAUCCCAGUAUUUUAUUUAUAUAAAUAAUUACAAAUUGCAUCACAAAGGACUUUAUAAUAAUUUCACAGUUUAAUUGCUAUUUAUAUUCAUAUUGAGCUCAAAUUAUUUCGCAAAUAGCUAUAUCUACAUUUUUGGGUUAUAAUUGCAAUAACUUUGCAAUUAUAGCACAUGCAUGCAUUAUUGCAUUAUUUUACCAGAAAAUAGCUCAUUGUAUUUUUAUAAUCUUGAGUAAUUAUUUUAAAGCAUUUCCAUGCAUGAAAAUUAUUUUUUUUGUAAUCCGUUAAUUAUUUUAUAAAAUAUAUUUUAUCAAUUAUUUGGGUAUUUAACAAAUAACCCUUUUUUCAAACCUAACCAUUUUUAUCAACCUAAAACCCCCUUUAAUAUAAACCCAAAAGCCAGCCCAAACCCCUUAGGCUCAAUCUGCCUACCCGACCCAAUAACCCAUCUUCAAUCGUGGUCGUUGAUCUUUUAGAUCAACGGUCCACGUUCACUCUUACCUUAAUUAACCCUUAACCUACCCCAAACCCUUUUCAUUCUCUCAAAACCCGUCAUCAUCAUCUCCCCUCAUCUCCCAACUGUAUUUCAACCUAACCCUAACCCUAGUCAUCGUCAUCGGCGUAAACCUCCCUCUUAUGGUGCUUCUAUGUCUUCUCUGACCACUCCUGGUCUCAUACGCUCCACGGUUCUUUGACUUCAUGAGUCCUUGAGAAGAUCUCAAGGAACUCCAACUGGUUCUGGUUUGAAACUUUGUUUACCGGCCAGUAUCAGGCCAUUUUUCAUUUGUAAGUAAGGAUCUCUCCUUGUUUUAUUACGAAUCUAUGGGUUCUAGACCUAUUCUCUUCAUUUCUGUUAUUUUUCCAAAAAACCCUAGUUCGAUAUUGUUGGUUCUUCUUAGAUCUUUAUAGAUCUGAGGUGAUUCGAAUGUUAUUAAGUGUUUUCCUUCAAAAUAUCUCUUGUUUUAAUUGAUUAUUUCGAUUUUUAAUCACUCUUUCUAAACUAGGGUUCAUCUCAAACUUUUCUUCAACGAUUUUUCUAAGUUCUCAAUGUUUAGUUAAUUAUUUUUUCAUCAUCUUAACUGAUUUUUGCAUGAAUGUUCAAACCCUAGUUGAUUCUGUGCGAUAUAUUGGUUUCUUCGAUUUUGUUUCGAUACUUUGUUAUUUCUGUGAUACCAGUCGUAUUAGUUUACUCUGUUUUUGGGCUUACAUAUUUUCCUUGUUAAAAUCCAAUAUUUCUUUGGGAUUGUAACCUAAUUAAGCUCUAUUUAUAGUUUGAACCUGUUUUUCUUGCUGAAUUCUGUAUUUCUGUGAAGCUUUACUUAUUUAAUUUCUAUUUAUGGAAUCAGAGUAAUUCUUUCCCAAAAAUUAGUAUUCUUUUGAAGGGUUUACUGAUUAUUUCCUAUUAUUUUGCUCUGUUAAAAUCUGUGUGUGCACAGAUCUUAUUUGUGACUUUAAUUGAUCACACUUGCCUAAAUAAGUUAUCCGUACGGUUUUGGGAUUCUUACUGAUUCCCUAUUUGGUAUGAUUUGGAUUCCUUACCCUAAUUAACCCUCUUUUGUUGUGAUCGUUAAGUGAUUACCCCUAAUUAAGUGGUCUAUUCCGGACUCCCUUACAUGAAUUGAUUCUGUGAUUAUUUGAUUGCCCCCAAAUUGACUGACUUCUGAUUCUCUUUACCUUAUUUGCUCUACUCUCUAAGUGCUAUAUAUACACUCUUGUUUUACCACUCAAAAACACGAACAGUAGUUCAAAAAUACACACACACACUCAAACUUUCUCUCAUCUUUCUUUCUACUACUUGUGCUCAUUGCUCGUAUAGCCGGCUAAAAGCCAAGGCUAGACUUUGGAACUCUACCUGUCACACCCCUUUUUUAACAACCUAACUCACUUAACUCUCUUAAAUAUAUAAAAAGAUUUAGUAAAGCUCGAAAAGGGCUUUUCAGUUUUGAAAGUGACAAAAGUUGUAUUCAAAGGGAAAAUAACUCAGAGUCACCACCUGACAUUGGUUUCGGUGUGCUAGGUCACCGUUUUUAAAAAAAAAUUCCUUUUAAACAUUUUGGAUUCCAAGACUAAGUCUACACCAGAGAUUUGUGUAAGAGAGUUCAUUUGACUCGGGGAGAAGGUGUUAGGCACUCCCCAAGCCCCGUAACUAGUACGGUUGCAUACUUGAUCAAGUCGGCUUUUAAAAUAUUCAAGUUGAGGUAAAAAUAACACAGAAAAGAAAAAUAAACACACAAGAGGCUCGAGGUCGUCCCCACCUAAUAAAAGAAAAAUAAAGAUAAAAAUAAAAUAAAAGACUGCAAGCGCUACUUUCGGCCUCUAAAUACAAGUACUACGGGGCAUUCCCCGGAACAAAAUAUAUACAAGUCCUUCGGGGCAUUCCCCGGAUAAAUUUAACUAAGGGAACAACCUCUUGCCUCAAAAUUAACAAAAUCCUAAGGCUUGCCUACCCAAGUGUGGUCGGCCUAAGCAUGCUCCUAACGAACAAUAUCAUCAGUAAAGAAAAUAAAAGGAUCUAAAUAAAAGAACUAAGUAAAAGAACAAUUCAAUUCAAUUCAUGGUCAUAUUUUGUUUUAGCUUUUCAUUUUUAUUAGACCGAGCCCGAUACCUAAACCAUGGAACAAAUUAAUUGCUAAUGGGCUUUAGCCUUUCUACCCCUCAAGCCACACGAAGCAGCAACACAUCUAGCAAACAUUACCAGAAAUUGUGAUAUCCAAUGACCAAAUACAUAAGAAAAGCGAAAACAAAAACAGACAAAGACAAAUUGAGAAACUUUUAUAAAGAUAACAUCAAAUAUGUAAAUCAGUACAGCAUCCCAAUAUGCAUGAGAAGAAAAGAUAGAGUGACCUAAACACAUAUAAGCCAUUUAAGACAAACACCUUGGCAUGUUACUGCGCCAUUCUAGAUGCGGUUACUACGUGGAACUUGCAAAACACAUUUAAACUAAUUUAAUAAUCUCAGUGAAUAUAGAUGAAACCAAAAUGAAGGGAAAAACACAAUUUUCAAACACAUGGACUAUCCCGACUCAGUUUUAAAAAAAAACGCUAUCCUAAUGUGAUAAAACUUUGACAUUUUGGACUUAAAUGUUUCAAAAUAAGCUCAAAGGGUGAACAAAAUAUGCUCCAUAAUGCUUGAAAGAAUUCAAAUCCGAGCGAAUAAGAUCAGUCACAAAAAAAAAAUAAAAAAAUUCAUGAACUCAAUCUAAUAAAGAAAAACUACAGAAGAGUUAAUAGACUACACCAAUCUAUUUUCAUUUUUCUUGCCAUACAAAUGAUGUUUCAUAUAAACUAAUGUUGCCAAACGCCUUUCAAGAUCAUUUUGACUAAUCAACUGAUGAUAAGCCUCUUAUCAUAUAAUUAAGUCUAAUAGACUCUUAGUCAAUAUGUUUUCGCCUACACCAAAUCUACACCAAUCAACUGAUGAUAAGCCUUUUAGUCAACCAUAGCCAUUCAAAUUUGCAAACUAGCACCCACUUUCAAGCUCAUUUUGACUAGAAAAGUAGCAGAAAAGAUUUAAACAAGAACAAACCAAUUGACAUGAUCAUCACCAAAGAGAAACACAAAUCACAACAGAAACAAAAGAAAGGAAUAGAAGUGAACCUGUUAAGCUGAAAUCCUUCUAAAUAACAAUGGAAAAAUUAGCAAAUGCACACUCCUCGAAUAGAAAGAAAAUCCGACGAGAAAACAGCAAGCAAAAUCGAACAACGGAACCAAAACUCGAACGACGAACACGACUCCGACCUCGAACAAACUCGAAUGGAGAACGAAUUUUGGCUCAAUCAACCUCCGUGUUGAAACCGAAACCAAAAGAAGAAACUAAAAUCAUUUUUGAGAUAUUUUCUGAUUUUUUUAAAAUGGAGACAAGUUGAAACAAAAAACCUAAACUCAAACUAUUUUUUGUAUUUUUGUUUUUCUGGAAUUUAAACUCAACUGAAAAUGGACCAAAAUGAGAAGAAAAGAAGAAACUCCCUCUUAGAGCCCAAAUUUUUCCAAAUCAUUUUCUCCAAAUUCUUCUCCUAAUCCCCCGAAAUUUCUGUCCAAGACCCAAAUAUAUAGCUCCCUCUCGAAAUUUCUAUCCUUCUUCAUCAAGAAAUCGUGUGGGACCACAAAACAAAUCCGAAAAUCUUUAACCAAAAUCUGAAAAAGAAGAAAAAAAACAAAGCAAAAUCGAAUUUUAUCUCUUUUGAUGCCAUUAAAGGACAGAUGGAGGGGGUAACUCGAUCCUACGCCUCCCAUUUUGCUGUUCAUGCCUAAAAAGAUAAAAUCGAAAAGGAGAUGAGGAGAAGACGCGCAAAAUCGAAUACUAAUGAUGAGGGGGGACCAUGAGGGGACCAGGAGGCGAGUUGGGUGAGUGGACUCGUCCGAUUCCGGCGAGUAUAGAUCGGCAGAGGCAAGGCAGAAGCGGCUGGAGUUUGUAUUUUAGGUUUAGGGUUAGAUUGGGGAAAAUAUUAGGCUUAUAUUUGGGUAUGGGGAAAUAAUGUGAGCCAAUGGAUCAAAUAAAAUAGAUGGCUAGGAUUUAAAAUGGUAAUUGGGGCGGGUCGGCGGAUUGGGUUGGCGGGUCAGCAGGUUUUGAGUUUGGGACAUGUGUCAAAGGUUAUGGGAUUGGGCUGCCCAGAUUUGGGCCUCUUCUUGACCGAAAUUGGUUUAAAUCCGUCAANNNNNNNNNNNNNNNNNNNNNNNNNUGAAAACAAAAUAUAUUGCUAUAAAAAUAUUAAUAACCUAAACUAAAUAGGAUAAGAUAGAACAUGAAACUAUUUUUGUAUUUUUUAAAAUUUUGUGCCUUAAAAAUAGAAUUAAAAUUAGUAAUAAAGUAAAAUCCUAUAGAUAUAAACCCAAAUAAAUAUCCUAAGAAUACUAGGAUUAUUAGAGGUGAUUCUAAUGCAUGGGUCAAAAAUUACAUGUCUACACUACCUGCUUUACUCUCUGCACUUUGCUUCCUUAACUGGUAUGUUCUUAUUUCAAUAUCAUUCUGAAAUUCAAAUCUAUGUUCCCCAUAGUUGCUAAAUCCUUGUCGAUUUUCGCACUAGUUUAACUGAUUAUGUUCUUAGUUGUUCUUCCUGUUUACUGCUUUGAUCAGUAUGCUUAAGAUGUACACCUUCUUGUUCAAUGUUUUAAUCAGCAUGUCUAUGUUUCUAUCUUCUUGUUUUCUAUUUUAGCCAGCAUGUUUACUUGAGUUUUUGUCUGUUUCUUUCAACUAGCAUGCUCAUUUUAAGUAGUUUAGGCUCCUAAUUUAUCUGAUUAACCACAAUUGGUAUGACUAAUCCUGUGUGGUAGACCCUUGUCCUCAACAUGGAUAUUCCUGCAUUCUGUUUCUAUGCUCUAAUGUCUAUUAUCACUUUAGCUUUAAGUAUAAUUUCCUUGUUAAUACUCUGAAUUAGUAGUUUAUAUUCUAAUGCUAUGAAUUUGGUCGCUGGUUGUCAAUCAAUCCCUACUUGUUCUGUGUAUUGUUCAUCAAUAAAUAUGCUUCCCCUCUUAUCCAUGUUCAUGUGCUUCUGAUUUAAGCUCCCUAUGUUCCCAACUCCCCGAUCCCUAUUUGUAAACUUGUUUGUCUUCACUUAGAAUCAAGUAAUAAAUGGCUUUGAAUCUGGGCACUCUAAGUUUUGUGAUUGUGUGGUUCUUUGUUGAAUCUUUGUUCUUCUCAGAAUUGCUUCCAAAACUAUUUUCACUCUUAGCAUUUUCUUAAAACUGUUUCCAUUCCUAAAAUACCUUUUCACUCCUAAAAAUUUUACCUCUAAACUGUUUUUAAUAAGUUCUUCCAACUAUGUCAGGCACUCUCACUUCUACUCUUAGAUUAUGUAAGUUCUGCCCCUCCAGUGUGUGUAUUGCCUAGGAAUCCAUGAGAUUCCUCAGAACUCUGGCACACUGGGGCUGGCCCUUCCACACCGCACAUAACUACUUCUCUAUUUAUAAGGAUCUUGGUGUGAGCAUUGCUCAGGGUACUUUAGGCCCUUGGGAACUUUGACGCACCAGGAUACCUCAUUGGAUACCAUGGACUAUGACAUCUUGGACUGUUUUGAAAGCCUGGUAUUUCCAAGUUCACUUUGGCCUAUUUCAGGCUCCAUAUAGCAUAACUUAUAUUUAUUAUGUAAUUUAUUUAUUUAUGGUCUGUAAUGAUAAUCUUUAUAAACAGAUAUUAGGGAAAUUAGUAAAAGAAUAGGAUUCUUAUAUGAUUUUUGUGGGGAAACCGGGUAGAAAUCAUGCCUUUUGGUCUAUAUUAUAUUUACUUGCAUCAGAAAUUAUGCUUUAGGUUUAUACUAUGUUUACCUGUAUUAGAAAUCAUGCUUUAGGCUUAUACUAUGUUUACAUGCUUUAGAAACCAUACUUUUAGGAUCGCUUGGCAUACUAGACAACAUAUUAUAGGCUCACUACCUCAUUUGUUACAAAACUCUGUUUCUGCAUAAUCAUGAUCAUCUAGGAAUCCUGUUAUUAAGGUACUGCUACAAUUCAGCCUAAUAAAAACGUCCAUUCUUUCUGUGCAUUGGAGAUCCUGCCUUAGGACUGUAUUUGUAUUCGGUUUAAACCAUGUCUAUAUCGCCUAAAUCAAUAACUAUAUUGUCUAUAAAAAAUGUUUAAAAACAAUCCCAACACUUAGAUGUCAUAGAGAUAUGUGUGUAUAAACCAGUUCUGUAAUGUAAUAUUCAGCACCUAGACCAGCAUGCCUAUAGGAUCCAAACUACCUGCUUAAAAUUGUUUAUUGGUUUACUGCGCUCCUAAUGAAUGAUUAGAUACCGUGCUUAUAGGACAUCACUGUUACACGCCUAGACAAGCCUGUAAGGCGACUAAAAUCCUGCUAACUGUAAAACUAUGUUUUUGUUGUUUGUGAACUGCCCAGAUUCAACAGGCCUUAAAAUCAGUAUGCAAACUGAUUAGGGUCUCUAUCACCUCGCUUUAACACGAUGAUGCAUACAUUCUAUUUGCUCACCUAGAUAUCCUGCUCUAGGACCUUUGGAAAUGUCUGAAAUCUUGUUGUUCGAGACAUGUUGUUGUUUGCUUAUUUGUGGAGGUAAACGUGAGCCCCUUAAUUGUUCUUUACUUGACAGUCAUGUUUGUUCUUUGUUGCCGCUUAGAUUUUCCCUUUUAAACACCUUAGGAGAGUCUAUAACUGCCUAAAAUUAGAGGUCCUAAACACCUCCGGGACCACAAGGAAGGGACGAGUAAUGCACGCAUAGAAUUGUGUGCUAAAUGAUAUAAAACCGCUAAGGGGAGGGUAAUUGGGUAGUACAAGGAUAUGAUGACCUGUGUGCUAAUGCCACGUGUAACCCCUCUAGUUGAGAAAGGUUUACCGGGUAUUGUACAGAUGUGAUCCUGUAGGCUAAAAAACCUAGCACCCCUUUUACCCUUUGUUUUAAAUGUAAUACCAAUUUGUCUAAAUUGCUUUAUCAGUUUAUAAGAUUAAUUCACAUAAUUUGAGUCCGAACGGGACUCACCGUUGUGGACCGCGAGGGGUGCCUAACACCUUCCCCUCAAGGUUAUUUCGAGCCCUUACUCAAUCUCUGGUAAUGCAAAUCGGUUUAUGAGUUACUUGCUUUAGGUGCCCUAACGCAACUUAAUCCGUUAGAUGGCGACUCUUCAAAUUCAACUACCCAAUUCCCGAAAGGAAAUGAGUUGUUCCCAAUGAAUGUCGAAAUCCGGACUCCGCGAGGAAAAAUGGGGUGCGACAGCAUGACGACUCUGCUGGGGAUAUUUUAGGCUCUUACCAUAACAAACUUGUUUUUGUGAAUUAGUCUUAAGCAUGCUUAUUUCUGUUAACACAUGUGCACCCUUCCCAUUUCCCCUUUAUUUGGAUUUAAUUGCUUAUUUCUCAAGCAUUUACGAUUUUUUUUAUUUCCUGAAACUGAUUUGACUCUUUGUUUUCUUUUUUUUUGUAACUGUCUUUCAAUUAUUUAAAUACCGCAUAUCAUUUUUUAAACGUGUAAAUACUUGACAACAUGCUAUUAUUGCUGCAUAAAUCAUGCUCAACAUCAUAUUUCACUCGCGCGUAAUCAAUUCUAUAGCAACGCUUGAUGAGUGUUUACGCUCUUCCUAUAUAUCACCCUUUUAAAUUCGGAAAGGCAUGUUUGCGGUAAAACUAUUCGAUCAGCGGGCAUUUGACGGUUCCAUGCCUUUCCCUUUCAAGUUGUCCACUUGAGGGUCCUAGUCUAGACCUCUAUAGCAACCUUACUCUGAUUAAUUGUACAUGCAUCAUGGUCAAACCUAGCCAGGGUUAAUAUGUUGUCCACAUAAUAACCCUUUAAGACAAGCCUCAUCCAAAUGUCCAUCGAGUUUUUCAUAAUCCCAACGGACGCAACCACGACUGUAUGCAUUUUUGGAGAAACAUGUGUUAAUGUGCUAAUCAUUGUUGUAUAAAUAGACGAACCUGGAGGGGGGACAUGGCCUAACCAUGUUUUGUUUUGCAGAAAAAAUGAGGCACGAAGUCCCGAAGUUUGGCAUAAUCGGUAGCAUACCUUUAAUUUUGCUAGAUUGGUGGAGGGAUCUUCCUUCAAGUGACCAAAAUCAUGUGAAAAGGGUCUUAGGAAAUUUGCCUUCUUUGUUGGAUCUUCAGCCAAACAAAAUGUUGAUCGAAGUUGCCACCAUGUUCUGGGAAAAAGAAAGGGUUGUGUUCCGCUUUAGAAACAUAAAAAUGACCUUGCUGGGUUGCCUUGGGAUAGCCCUGGUUUAUUGGCACCUGAAAACCGCACCACUAGGGGGUUUCUGAAGAUGAUGGGGUUAAAGAAGAAUGAUGACUUGGAGUGCAUGAAAAACUCCUACAUACCUUUCGACUUCCUCUAUGAACGACAUGGUCAUAGUAGCUUUUACCGUAUUUUUGAUGAUGAAUUCUUCAUCACCUAUUUAGGUUGGAUUCAUCGUAGGGUCUUUGUGUUCAUUGUGUGUUUCUUGGGCAUUCUAGUGUUCCCGAUCCAAGGGGACAAAAUCCACACCAGGCUUGCCAAAACUUUGAUGGACGGGAUCGAAGGGCAAACAUAUACCAUUAUCCCUAUGAUCAUUGCAGAUAUGUACCGGGCCUUGGAACACUGUCAGAAGGGGUUCAGAUUCUUUGAGUGUUGCAAUUUGCUGCUGUAAGUUUGGCUGCUAGAACAUCUCCAAAAGGGUCAAUACUGUCAGGAAUUUCCACGAAGGCCGUGGAAUGAUCACAUAGCCUUCCAUUAUCCCUAGAGAAUGACUUAUAUUCCCAAUAGGUUUUGCUCAACCAGAGGAUGAUGUAGGAUGGGUACAAUUUUUCAACAAUUUGAUCGAGGACCAGGUUCAAUGGAUGUUCGAGUGGUUCCCAACCGACGAGUUCAUCAUUAGAUCCAAGGAUGUUCCACACUUGGUGUUGAUUGGUUUAAGGAGAAUAUACCUUUAUGCUUCCCUUAGGGUUAUGAGACAGUCAGGCAGGAUACAGGUCAUACCGCGAGUCGCUAAAAUGAGUCACUUCAUAGACGAUUUUCAGAGUGACGCCAUCCCAUAUAAGAAUGAAGCAUAACACAUGUGGCACUUGAAGAUUAUCGUUGAAAAGGAUACCAUCGAGCCGGAUUGAUAUAAUGCGGGUCAUACAUACUUCUACCCCUCAUGGUUGGAUGAUAAUAUAGCAGGAAUCUUCGAGCCAAGGGUUGGUCCAGGAAACAGGGUCAUAGAUGAAGUUGCCGAAGCGCAGGUGAAGUACAACAAAUUGUGCAAAAGNNNNNNNNNNNNNNNNNNNNNNNNNNNNNNNNNNNNNNNNNNNNNNNNNNNNNNNNNNNNNNNNNNNNNNNNNNNNNNNNNNNNNNNNNNNNNNNNNNNNNNNNNNNNNNNNNNNNNNNNNNNNNNNNNNNNNNNNNNNNNNNNNNNNNNNNNNNNNNNNNNNNNNNNNNNNNNNNNNNNNNNNNNNNNNNNNNNNNNNNNNNNNNNNNNNNNNNNNNNNNNNNNNNNNNNNNNNNNNNNNNNNNNNNNNNNNNNNNNNNNNNNNNNNNNNNNNNNNNNNNNNNNNNNNNNNNNNNNNNNNNNNNNNNNNNNNNNNNNNNNNNNNNNNNNNNNNNNNNNNNNNNNNNNNNNNNNNNNNNNNNNNNNNNNNNNNNNNNNNNNNNNNNNNNNNNNNNNNNNNNNNNNNNNNNNNNNNNNNNNNNNNNNNNNNNNNNNNNNNNNNNNNNNNNNNNNNNNNNNNNNNNNNNNNNNNNNNNNNNNNNNNNNNNNNNNNNNNNNNNNNNNNNNNNNNNNNNNNNNNNNNNNNNNNNNNNNNNNNNNNNNNNNNNNNNNNNNNNNNNNNNNNNNNNNNNNNNNNNNNNNNNNNNNNNNNNNNNNNNNNNNNNNNNNNNNNNNNNNNNNNNNNNNNNNNNNNNNNNNNNNNNNNNNNNNNNNNNNNNNNNNNNNNNNNNNNNNNNNNNNNNNNNNNNNNNNNNNNNNNNNNNNNNNNNNNNNNNNNNNNNNNNNNNNNNNNNNNNNNNNNNNNNNNNNNNNNNNNNNNNNNNNNNNNNNNNNNGGCUGGAAUAUAUGGAGUACAGUCUGAUGGAAUUGGAAGGAAAAUGAGAA
rnacentral:lncRNA from 1 species